UAUCUGUUGUUGGAAACGGCGUCGCAUCUGUUCAUAAUUGCAUCAGCUUUCUUUGCGCGAGGCUCAAAGUUCACGGCAGCGAAACCUACUUAACGGACAACCGGCGGCGACACCAUUACGCCAUGCGAAAAGCUUCAUGGCAAGAGCUAGAUGAAGUUUCUGAUAUUCUCGGUGAUUCCAUCCACGACAGCGGUGAAAUCCCUUACCAAUACGCGCUAUCGGUGUUUCGCUCCAAUGCCAUAUGGAGGAGAAGGAGAAAGUUUUUACGGGAAUCUUCCAUGUUUCAGGCGGCCGCGAAGGGCCGUAAAGAGAGGUAAUUUUGUUGUAAGCAGAUUGAUUUCGUUUUGAUUUUUGAUGUUAAAAUUUUAUUAUAUCCAUUUGGGCUUUUCAUUGAAUGAAAACCUAGAUUAUUAGGCCAAUAGUGCUACUAUUGACUUUGAAUCUUUAAUAGAUUGAAAACCUGUUAAUUCAGUUAAUUUAUUGUUAGUAGGUGAAUAUUCUGAUUAUUUAAAAUCAAUGAAAAAGAAUGUUCUGUGAUAUGACCAAUUCUGCUAAUCUACAAACUCUUUUUCUUUUCCUUUUUUCUUGAAGAAUCUAUUCAAGUUGAGAUUUGUUUAUUGCAGUCUAUUUUUCUAAGUCUUUGGCUGAGCAUAGUAUUGAAUUCUCCAUGUCUGUUCAUCCACCUUGUGUCAGCAAACUUGUUGCGCCUCUCCAGUAUAUUAUAAUGGUCAUUUGAGAAUCGUUAACUGUUUAUGUAAGUACAACCUCACAAAAUCACAAUUAGUUGAAUUUUGUAGAUAUGCUAUUUUGGGGGAUACGUAUCUAAAUCACCGUGCAAUUCGAGUUACUGAUUCACAGAGGCAACUUAUAGUUAAAAAAGAACUAAGAGAUCUUGGAGGUGUAGAUAGGCCUUUGUUCAUAUGGCAAACUAAUGCUCUUAAAUCUUUCUUCAAAGGAAGCUUAUAAGCAAAGAAAUUGAACUUUCUUCAAACAAUAGAAGCAAUAUUAAUGUAAUGGAUACAGCUCACCUGCAGCUGAGCUGAAAAAAAAAAAAACCAUUUGGCUUAUGUGGACAA